rnacentral:tRNA from 1 species
UAGAGUAUAAUUUAAAGAAAAAUAUUUGAUUUGCAUUCAAAAUAUAUUAAUUUUAUUAAUUACACUAA